GGUGUGGAUAGGGGAGAAAUUCCAAUCGAACCCGGAGAUAGCUGGUUCUCCUCGAAAUAGCUUUAGGGCUAGCCUCGAUAGAGUCUUGCGGAGGUAGAGCACUGAAUUUCCUAGGGGGCGUCAAAGCUUACCGAAGAAUAUCAAACUCCGAAUGCCGUGUAGAUGCUUAUCGGGAGUCAGACUAUACGAGAUAAGUUGGAUAGUCAAAAGGGAAAGAGCCCAGACCUCCAGCUAAGGUCCCAAAGUACGUGUUAAGUGGAAAAGGAUGUGGGAUUUCGAAGACAACCAGGAUGUUGGCUCAGAAGCAGCCAUACAUUCAAAGAGUGCGUAAUAGCUCACUGGUCGAGAGGUCCUGCGCCGAAAAUGUCCGGGGCUAAAACACGACACCGAAGCUGAGGAAUGUAUUUGAUACAUUGGUAGAGGAGCAUUGAAUACGGGAAGAAGCAGUACCGAAAGGAGCUGUGGACUGUAUUGAAGAGAGAAUGCCGGAAUGAGUAGCGAGAAUAAGGUGAGAAUCCUUAUGGCCGAAUAUCUAAGGUUUCCAGGGUAAAGCUGAUCUGCCCUGGGUAAGUCGGGACCUAAGGCGAGGUCGAAAGACGUAGCCGAUGGACAACAGGUUGAGAUUCCUGUACUGCGUUAGAACAGAACUGUGGGGACACGUGUGGAAAGCACAACCCGGGAAUGGAAUCCCGGGGCAAGCGAAGGAGGAGUCACAUAGGAAAAACCGUGUGGCAAUCCAAAGGCGUGAUGCGGACCGAACUAGAGUAGGGAAGUGUGUGAGCCAUGCGUCAAGAAAAGCCGCUAUUGUUUGUAACGUACCCGUACCGUAAACCGACACAGGUGGAUGAGGAGAGAAUCCUAAGGCCGACGGAAGAAGCAUUGCCAAGGAACUCGGCAAAAUGACCCCGUAACUUCGGGAGAAGGGGUGCCCGUGUAAAAGCGGGCCGCAGAGAAUAGGCUCAAGCAACUGUUUAGCAAAAACACAGGUCUAUGCGAAACCGAAAGGUGAGGUAUAUGGGCUGACGCCUGCCCGGUGCUGGAAGGUUAAGAGGAGAUGUCAGGAAACGAAGCAUUGAAUUUAAGCCCCAGUAAACGGCGGCCGUAACUAUAACGGUCCUAAGGUAGCGAAAUUCCUUGUCGGGUAAGUUCCGACCCGCACGAAAGGCGUAAUGAUUUGAGCGCUGUCUCGGCAAUGCAUCCGGUGAAAUUGAAGUACCAGUGAAGAUGCUGGUUACCUGCGCCAGGACGGAAAGACCCCAUGGAGCUUUACUCCAGUUUGGUACUGGGAUUCGGUAUUGCAUGUACAGGAUAGGUGGGAGACUAAGAGGUAGUGACGCCAGUUGCUACGGAGUCGAUGUUGGGAUACCACCCUUGCAGUAUUGGGUUUCUAACCAGCCGCCGUGACCCGGCGGUGGGACAAUGCCAGGCGGGGAGUUUGACUGGGGCGGUCGCCUCCGAAAGGGUAUCGGAGGCGCCCAAAGGUUCCCUCAGAAUGGACGGAAACCAUUCGAAGAGUGCAAAGGCAGAAGGGAGCUUGACUGCGACACCGACGGGUGGAGCAGGUACGAAAGUAGGGCUUAGUGAUCCGGUGGUAUUAAGUGGGAAUGCCAUCGCUCAACGGAUAAAAGCUACCCUGGGGAUAACAGGCUUAUCACUCCCAAGAGUUCACAUCGACGGAGUGGUUUGGCACCUCGAUGUCGGCUCAUCGCAUCCUGGGGCUGUAGUAGGUCCCAAGGGUUGGGCUGUUCGCCCAUUAAAGCGGUACGCGAGCUGGGUUCAGAACGUCGUGAGACAGUUCGGUCCCUAUCCGGCGUGGGCGUAGGAUAUCUGAGAGGAGCUGUCCUUAGUACGAGAGGACCGGGAUGGACGGGCCGCUGGUGCACCGGUUAGACUGCCAAGUCUAUAGCCGGGUAGCCAAGCCCGGAAGGGAUAAACGCUGAAGGCAUCUAAGCGUGAAGCCCCCCUCAAGAUGAGAUAUCCCAUCCGAAAGGAGUAAACCCCCUUGAAGACGACGAGGUUGAUAGGGCAGGGGUGGAAGUGUGGUAACACAUGGAGCUGACUGCUACUAAUAGGGUGAGGGCUUGACCA
rnacentral:rRNA from 1 species